AAUGAUAACAAGUGCUGAGCAUUCCUAUGGGUUGACCAUUGUGCUAUUCUCUUUAUAUGCUUUAUCUCAAUUAAUAUUCAAGGCAAUCCUAGAUGCCUCGUUAGCGCAGUCGGUAGCAUGCCAGUCUAAUAAUUUUCAAUGCAAUCCUAUGUGAUAUUUAUUAAGCCACAUUACAGAAAUAAUAGAGUAGAGAAUUUACCCUGAGUGUAUCUGAUUCUGAAUUCGCUAAGGAGAUAAAACAUUAUUCCCAAACUACAACUGACCCAUGCCAUCAGUGUGGUGACUUGUCCUCGCUCUAUGAAUUAUAUUUCAAUUUUACCUAAAGAAACCCACAGAUAGACCCUCUAGACUAGUCACACCUGGACCAAUACUUUGCCUUUCACAUGAUGAACCUCCUGGAUUACCCUGGGAAAGUUGACCAACAUCUUCAACUCUGUCAGGAGCAGAGAUGACUUACGGAUUUAAAAGAAAAAAUGAGAACCCCUUAUUCAGUCUUGCAGGAGAUGGCUAAAGCAAGUGGCCAGACAGAAGUAUUCUUUGUUGGCUAAGCCACUUUCUGGUUAGUUAAACACUCAAAACAAAGUGGCUUAAUCAAUUAGGAAUAUCUCUUAUCUCAUAAGAUUUGCUGAUUCAGCAGUACAAUAAUAUUUUCAUUGACGUAAGUUUUGUGCAUCUAUCUGUUCUAUCAUUACCAUGUUCACUCUGUUCUUUUCUUUUUUGAGACAGGGUCUUGCUCUGUCACCCAGGCUGGAGUACAGUGAGGUGAUCAUGGUUCACUGCAGCCUCAAUCUCCAGGACUCAAACAAUCCUCUACCUCAGCCUCUUGAGUAGCUGAGAUUACAGUGAUGUGCCACCAUGCCUGGCUAAUCUUUUUAAGUGUAAGUGUGUGUGCGUGUGUUUGCGUGUGUGUGUGUGUGUGUGUGUCUGUGUGUAGAGAGAGGGUCUCACUAUGUUUCCCAGGCUGGUCUUGAAUUCCUAGGGUCAAGCAAUCCUCCUCCCUCAGCCUGGGAUUACAGGCAUGAGCCACCAUGCCCAGCCUACUCUACUCUGUUCUUUAUUUUCUCCUUGUCAUGAGAAGAAACCCCCAGCAGAUAUCUCCCCAAUGAUUCACUGAUCUGAAUUUUCUCUCUUGUUCAUGCUCCAACCAAUCAGUGACAAGGAAUUUGAUGUUACAAUAACUGGCUUAGACCAAUCAGCAUUCUCACUCAGAGUAUGGAGUCCACCUCUCCUGAACUCCCAGGCCACAUAGAUAAGCAUGGAAAUCUGAAUAAAACUGAGGUACUAUUUGGAAAGAAUGGAUAUUGGUUAAGCAGGCAGUAGUGUUUGAUACAACUAACUGAAAGCAACUGUGCUGGCUCAUUAAAUUCAUCAUAUAUAUCCCAUACAGACUGCUUAGUUCUCUACCCAACAUUUGAUUGGCAUAGAUAGUGCUUUUCCAGAUAAAGCAAGCAUAUAAAUAAGGAAAGGAAGCAAAUCUGCCUUCCAUGUUAUCUGCCAAGCUACCAUUAGAGGACUGUCUGGGGGAAGCUAUAAUACUGAAUGCAGAAUCUCCCCUUUAAUCCAGUGGACCCUUCUAGACAUGUUCUAAUCAUUUUGACUUACAGAGUGAGGAUAGAUUAGGCUCAAGCUAAGAACACUGCUACACACUGCUGGGGGAAACUGAGGCUCAGAUUUUUCCCAGUUUGCCAUGAAGAUGUCUAGCUGGAAGCAUUCCUCAAAGCUAAGAAAAGGUGAAAAGCAAAUACUGGUCAAAAUGUUAAGAUCACUAAGAGUUUACUGUUUGUUCCAAAUAUAAAGAAGAAUUCCUAGAUAAAAGGUUUACAAAUUACAAAAUCUAGAAUAGCUGCAUAAUCCUUAACACAUUUUUAAACAUUAUUCUAUUCCUGAUGAAGAAAC
rnacentral:lncRNA from 10 species